GACGAACGCUGGCGGCGUGCCUAACACAUGCAAGUCGAACGGAAAGGCCCUGCUUUUGUGGGGUGCUCGAGUGGCGAACGGGUGAGUAACACGUGAGUAACCUGCCCUUGACUUUGGGAUAACUUCAGGAAACUGGGGCUAAUACCGGAUAGGAGCUCCUGCUGCAUGGUGGGGGUUGGAAAGUUUCGGCGGUUGGGGAUGGACUCGCGGCUUAUCAGCUUGUUGGUGGGGUAGUGGCUUACCAAGGCUUUGACGGGUAGCCGGCCUGAGAGGGUGACCGGCCACAUUGGGACUGAGAUACGGCCCAGACUCCUACGGGAGGCGGCAGUGGGGAAUAUUGCACAAUGGGCGGAAGCCUGAUGCAGCAACGCCGCGUGCGGGAUGACGGCCUUCGGGUUGUAAACCGCUUUCGCCUGUGACGAAGCGUGAGUGACGGUAAUGGGUAAAGAAGCACCGGCUAACUACGUG
rnacentral:rRNA from 1 species